CCUACGGGCGACAGCAGUGGGGAAUAUUGGGCAAUGGGCGCAAGCCUGACCCAGCAACGCCGCGUGAAGGAAGAAGGCUUUCGGGUUGUAAACUUCUUUUCUCAGGGACGAAGCAAGUGACGGUACCUGAGGAAUAAGCCACGGCUAACUACGUGCCAGCAGCCGCGGUAAUACGUAGGUGGCAAGCGUUAUCCGGAUGUACUGGGUGUAAAGGGCGUGUAGGCGGGACUGCAAGUCAGAUGUGAAAACCAUGGGCUCAACCUAUGGCCUGCAUUUGAAACUGUAGUUCUUGAGUGCUGGAGAGGCAGGCGGAAUUCCUAGUGUAGCGGUGAAAUGCGUAGAUAUUAGGAGGAACACCAGUGGCGAAGGCGGUCUGCUGGACAGCAACUGACGCUGAGGCGCGAAAGCGUGGGGAGCAAACAGGAUUAGAUACCCUAGUAGUC
rnacentral:rRNA from 1 species